rnacentral:rRNA from 1 species
ACUCAAAUGAAUAGACGGGGACCCGCACAAGCGGUGGAACAUGUGGUUUAAUUCGAGGCAACGCGAAGAACCUUACCAGGCCUUGACAUGCCCUCUAUAGAGAUCAGAGAUGAUCUCUUUCACUUCGGGUGGGAGGAGCACAGGUGCUGCAUGGCUGUCGUCAGCUCGUGUCGUGAGAUGUUGGGUUAAGUCCCGCAACGAGCGCAACCCUCAUCCUCUGUUGCUAACAGGUUAAGCUGAGCACUCUGAGGAAACUGCCGGUGAUAAGCCGGAGGAAGGUGGGGAUGACGUCAAGUCCUCAUGGCCCUUACGGCCUGGGCUACACACGUGUUACAAUGGUGGUGACAAAGAGCAGCUAACCCGCGAGGGCAUGCUAAUCUCUAAAAGCCACCUCAGUUCAGAUUGUACUCUGCAACUCGAGUACAUGAAGCUGGAAUCGCUAGUAAUCGCGGAUCAGAACGCCGCGGUGAAUACGUUCCCGGGUCUUGCACACACCGCCCGU